rnacentral:rRNA from 1 species
AGAGUUUGAUCAUGGCUCAGAUUGAACGCUGGCGGCAGGCCUAACACAUGCAAGUCGAACGGUAACAGGAAACAGCUUGCUGUUUCGCUGACGAGUGGCGGACGGGUGAGUAAUGUCUGGGAAACUGCCUGAUGGAGGGGGAUAACUACUGGAAACGGUAGCUAAUACCGCAUAACGUCGCAAGACCAAAGAGGGGGACCUUCAGGCCUCUUGCCAUCGGAUGUGCCCAGAUGGGAUUAGCUUGUUGGUGGGGUAACGGCUCACCAAGGCGACGAUCCCUAGCUGGUCUGAGAGGAUGACCAGCCACACUGGAACUGAGACACGGUCCAGACUCCUACGGGAGGCAGCAGUGGGGAAUAUUGCACAAUGGGCGCAAGCCUGAUGCAGCCAUGCCGCGUGUAUGAAGAAGGCCUUCGGGUUGUAAAGUACUUUCAGCGGGGAGGAAGGGAGUAAAGUUAAUACCUUUGCUCAUUGACGUUACCCGCAGAAGAAGCACCGGCUAACUCCGUGCCAGCAGCCGCGGUAAUACGGAGGGUGCAAGCGUUAAUCGGAAUUACUGGGCGUAAAGCGCACGCAGGCGGUUUGUUAAGUCAGAUGUGAAAUCCCCGGGCUCAACCUGGGAACUGCAUCUGAUACUGGCAAGCUUGAGUCUCGUAGAGGGGGGUAGAAUUCCAGGUGUAGCGGUGAAAUGCGUAGAGAUCUGGAGGAAUACCGGUGGCGAAGGCGGCCCCCUGGACGAAGACUGACGCUCAGGUGCGAAAGCGUGGGGAGCAAACAGGAUUAGAUACCCUGGUAGUCCACGCCGUAAACGAUGUCGACUUGGAGGUUGUGCCCUUGAGGCGUGGCUUCCGGAGCUAACGCGUUAAGUCGACCGCCUGGGGAGUACGGCCGCAAGGUUAAAACUCAAAUGAAUUGACGGGGGCCCGCACAAGCGGUGGAGCAUGUGGUUUAAUUCGAUGCAACGCGAAGAACCUUACCUGGUCUUGACAUCCACGGAAGUUUUCAGAGAUGAGAAUGUGCCUUCGGGAACCGUGAGACAGGUGCUGCAUGGCUGUCGUCAGCUCGUGUUGUGAAAUGUUGGGUUAAGUCCCGCAACGAGCGCAACCCUUAUCCUUUGUUGCCAGCGGUCCGGCCGGGAACUCAAAGGAGACUGCCAGUGAUAAACUGGAGGAAGGUGGGGAUGACGUCAAGUCAUCAUGGCCCUUACGACCAGGGCUACACACGUGCUACAAUGGCGCAUACAAAGAGAAGCGACCUCGCGAGAGCAAGCGGACCUCAUAAAGUGCGUCGUAGUCCGGAUUGGAGUCUGCAACUCGACUCCAUGAAGUCGGAAUCGCUAGUAAUCGUGGAUCAGAAUGCCACGGUGAAUACGUUCCCGGGCCUUGUACACACCGCCCGUCACACCAUGGGAGUGGGUUGCAAAAGAAGUAGGUAGCUUAACCUUCGGGAGGGCGCUUACCACUUUGUGAUUCAUGACUGGGGUGAAGUCGUAACAAGGUAACCGUAGGGGAACCUGCGGUUGGAUCACCU